rnacentral:rRNA from 1 species
GUAGUCUGCAACUCGACUACAUGAAGCUGGAAUCGCUAGUAAUCGCAGAUCAGAAUGCUGCGGUGAAUACGUUCCCGGGUCUUGUACACACCGCCGUCACACCAUGGGAGUCGGAAAUGCCCGAAGCCGGUGACCCAACCAAAAGGAGGGAGCCGUCGAAGGCAGGUCUGAUAACUGGGGUGAAGUCGUAACAAGGUAAC